CCCCUCGCGGAGCGCGGCGGCCCCCGGCAGCCCCCCCGCGCCCGGAAGUGACGCGCCCCCCGCCCCGGCCGCGCCCCGAAGCUCCGGGAGCAGGCGGGCCCGCGGCUGGGCUCCGGCGUCCGCGCGCUAACCCUAGCCCUUUGUGCUUCCCGCGGGCUCGAGCGCCCGGCUGCUGAGUCCUGGGUUUCUCUCCGCCUUUGGCCGAGUUCGUUCACGUUGACGACCCCUGAGUGCGCGGCCGCGACGGAGCUCCGCGCGGAGGACCGCGUCUGGCCGCCGGGUUCCCAAAAUGAUCCAUACAUUUGACCGGACUUAAUAGCUUUAAAAGAAGACUUUUCGGAUUUCCCUGGUGGUUCACUUUUACCUGAGCUCUGUGGAUUCCUCCCAGAUGGAAGCACCUGUCUGAGCUUGAAGAGUACCUCCCUCGAUUCCCUGGGCCAAACUCGAACUUCACUUGGCCACCACUGAAUUUAGGGUGACCAGUUGAGUAAACAGCUAGAACUGAUGUUUAAACCACCACACUCCAUAAAUUCUGUCCAACCCA
ensembl:lncRNA